rnacentral:rRNA from 1 species
UUCCGGUUGAUCCUGCCGGAGGCUACCGCUAUUGGAGUUCGAUUAAGCCAUGCGAGUCGAGAGUCUUAGGGACUCGGCGUACCGCUCAGUAACACGUGGGUAACCUGCCCUAUGCUGGGGAAUAACCUCGGGAAACUGAGAAUAAUACCCCAUAGUUCACCACGCCUGGAACGGUGGGUGGAUGAAAGCUCCGGCGGCAUAGGAUGGGCCUGCGACGUAUCAGGUUGUAGGGGGUGUAACGUACCCUCUAGCCAUCAACGCGUACGGGUGUUGGGAGACAUAGCCCGGAGAUGGAUUCUGAGACACGAAUCCAGACCCUACGGGGUGCAGCAGGCGCGAAAACUUGGCAAUGCGAGCAAUCGUGACCAGGGAACUCCAAGUGGCUGGGGUAAUACCCAGUUUUUUCUUGACUCUUCAAAGGUCUUGGAAUAAGGGGUGGGUAAGGACGGUGCCAGCCGCCGCGGUAAUACCGGCGCCUCAAGUGGUAGUCGCUUUUAUUGGGCCUAAAACGUCCGUAGCCGGUCUGGUGCAUUCGUGGGUAAAUCAACCCGCUCAACGGGUUGAAUUCUGCGAGCACGGCCAGACUUGGGACCGGGAGAGGUGUGGGGUACUCUCAGGGUAGGGGUAAAAUCCUGUCAUCCUGGGAGGACCACCUGUUGCGAA